rnacentral:hammerhead_ribozyme from 1 species
GCACUGCUGAGGAGUCCCACAAUAGGACGAAACGGCCGAUCAGUGC